rnacentral:rRNA from 1 species
CAAUAAGCGGAGGAAAAGAAACCAACAGGGAUUGCCCCAGUAACGGCGAGUGAAGCGGCAACAGCUCAAAUUUGAAAUCUGGCCCCCGGGUCCGAGUUGUAAUUUGCAGAGGAUGCUCUUGGCGAGGCACCGUCCGAGUUCCCUGGAACGGGACGCCAUAGAGGGUGAGAGCCCGGUAUGGACGACUGCCGAGCCGCUGUAGAGCUCCUUCGACGAGUCGAGUAGUUUGGGAAUGCUGCUCUAAACGGGAGGUAAAUCUCUUCUAAAGCUAAAUACUGGCCACAGACCGAUAGCGCACAAGUAGAGUGAUCGAAAGAUGAAAAGCACUUUGAAAAGAGAGUUAAACAGCACGUGAAAUUGUUGAAAGGGAAG